AAGCAAUUUGCUCAUAGCCAUAGCUUUCUUGUGAAAGUAGGAUAUUAACCCAGGUGUCUUGGUGCUGGAGAACAGAACUGGCCAGAGUCCAUCCUGUCUCCCACCGGCAUCCCAUUACGAAAUGAACACAGAAAAGGCAGGUCUGCAAUGCCAACAUCUAGUAUCUAUCCCAAAGACCAGGGAGAAAGGAAGGAAAGAUUCUGGUUCUGUCCUCUUCCCCAAGGCAAGGCUGGCUGCCCUACCAACAGAGGCAAAGAGAAGAGUGUGCAAGGCUGGCUGCCCUCCCAACAGAGGCAAAGAGGAGUGUGUGUUGAAAUAUCCAUUGAAUCCCUGAGACAACUGGAUCCUGGCCCAUUGAAUCAUAAACUCAUUUCAGAGAAGAUGAAACUGAUGUGCGUCAAAAAGUAAACUACCCACAUUUUAACUGGGCACAUUCCUGUCAAUCUGAUGAGAAUCUAUUUCAUACCCUGCUUUAGCUGGUAGUCUGUCAAGGAAAUGAGCUGAACAUGUCUGUGUACAGCUUUUGUGCCAUCCCUGGAUGAGCGAGCUGUCUGCCUCUAUGUUCUCCACAAAAUGGAAUAUAGCUGUACACCCAAGCCAAGUUAUGGAGGCUGGGAAGACCUAGAAUGUGGCAUCACUAUUUGCUGAAAUUUUUAAUAUAAUGCCUCUUAGCCUGGUUUGGAGAAAACGUCACAGAGAGGCACCAUUUGUUGUGGUUUUACAUGAAAAUUUUCUGACCCUGAACCUGGUUUGAUGGAAAUCAUUUGCUGAGGUAAUUAUCUCAAAUUAACUACCAAGCUGAUGAAUCGCUUACUACUUAAAAGCUGUGAUGGGGAGAGGAGUAAUUGAGAGCGGCCUUGUUGGGAGGGGAUGUGGACAUUUUUUUUUUCAGCAGCCAAUCAACUUAGAGGUUUUUUUUUGUUUUGUUUUGUUUUGUUUUUGUCUUGUUUUUUUUUCUGUGUAGAAUCUGAAUGUAUUGUCACAAGGUGAACACCAG
rnacentral:lncRNA from 1 species